rnacentral:misc_RNA from 1 species
UCCGGCUUAUCACCGGCGGUUUCUUUAGAGUGCCCAACUAAAUGAUGGCAACUAAAGACGAGGGUUGCGCUCGUUGCGGGACUUAACCCAACAUCUCACGACACGAGCUGACGACAGCCAUGCAGCACCUGUGUUCCCGCCAGCCGAACUGAAGAGCUACAUCUCUGUUGCUCAUACGGGACAUGUCAAAGGUUGGUAAGGUUCUGCGCGUUGCUUCGAAUUAAACCACAUGCCCCACCGCUUGUGCGGGUCCCCGUCAAUUCCUUUGAGUUUUAAUCUUGCGACCGUACUCCCCAGGCGGUCUACUUCACGCGUUAGCUGCGUUACCAAGUUAAUUAAAACCCGACAACUAGUAGACAUCGUUUAGGGCGUGGACUAC